AAAAAAGGAAAAUAUGUUUCUUACACAUCUGAGUGUACAUAGUUUAAAAAAAUAUACAAAGACGUGCAUAUGCAUAGGAGCUGAAUAUACAACUAAAUAUGGUCUAGGUAGCAAAAUGGCAGUGAGCUAGAUGGCUAGGGGGGUGCAUUUGAGACUGGAGGAGAAAAUUAGACAAUUUUUUCUCUUUCACUACCUGAAGAUGGGUCAAGACAGCCAAAUGUAAGACAGUAGGAGAAGGUGGGCACUGGGCUACUAUGGAGGGCUCCUGCCCCAUCUAAAGAUGAAAACCUUUUUAAAACAUUGUGUGGGUUAAAUUACAAAGGUCUGCAGGCCAGAAAUAGUCCACUGGUUACCAUACCAGUCGUGCAGACAGAUUUUUAUCAUAAUGCUUUUUGGUUCUCUUACAAUUUAAAGUACACCUUACUCUGACUUUUUAAGGUACUGCAGUCAAGAAAAAUGCCCAGUCUCCAUUAAUCUCCCACCAUCCCUUUAAUCACACGUUGAAAGUUCUCUAGAUUUUUUCUCCCUUAUUCCUCACAUCCAAUUAGUCACAGUCUGGUUGUUUUUGUCUGUUGAAUGUCUUUAAAGUUGGAUCUUUCUCUCAUGAAUUUCUCCCAUUCAUUCCCAAGAAUUGUGUGUUAAUCUAAACCCAGGACCUCUUCAAUAGCCCAUUAACUAGUCACUCUUACUCUAGUCUUGCUUCUUUGGCCUUCAAUCCAGGCUCCUCCUCAUUGAUUUUAUUGUUCCCUUGCCUACAAUUUUUCAGUGAUUUUUUUACUGACUGCAGGGUCAAACGGCCAAAGCAGAGCGGACACCAUCUCUCCCUGAGUGCCUAUACCUUUGCUCUAAUGCCUAAUCGACUUCAGAAGCUACGUACUCAAACAUAAUGUGAAGCGUUAUUCUUCCUCCAAGUCAGUAAUCGUCACCAACAUCGGUGGGGCAGGAGAAGAGGAAGAUGAAGGAAAAGAAAGAGAAACCAGCCACCUGGACUCAUGGAGAGGGAAGACCCUCUGGAGGCCUUGGAACAUGGAAUUGUCUUAUCGGAAGACCAUUCCUGUGCCUCUAAUAAAGGUGAGCUGUGCUUGGUGAGGGAUGUUUUCUUUUGAAGUGUGAUGGAAGCUCUGGGCCGAGGGACUACUUAGCCAGGCAUCAUUCUUUUUUUUCUCUUCAGAGUCUAAAUGAGCCCUGUGGUUGAUAGGCAUUGUAGUCACACAAUAAACAUCUGAAACGGAGAAGAUAAAUGGCCA
rnacentral:lncRNA from 1 species